AUUGAACGCUGGCGGCAGGCCUAACACAUGCAAGUCGAGCGAGUGGCGGACGGGUGAGUAAUGUAUGGGAAUCUGCCUGAUGGAGGGGGAUAACUACUGGAAACAGUAGCUAAUACCGCAUACCAUCAGAUGUGCCCAGAUGGGAUUAGCUAGUAGGUGGGGUAACGGCUCACCUAGGCGACGAUCCCUAGCUGGUCUGAGAGGAUGACCAGCCACACUGGGACUGAGACACGGUCCAGACUCCUACGUGAGGCAGCAGUGGGGAAUAUUGCACAAUGGGCGCAAGCCGGAUGCAGCCAUGCCGCGUGUAUGAAGAAGGCCUUCGGGUUGUAAAGUACUUUCAGCGAGGAGGCGUUACUCUCAGAAGAAGCACCGGCUAACUCCGUGCCAGCAGCCGCGGUAAUAC
rnacentral:rRNA from 1 species